UUUUGUUCUGCUGGAUGGCUUUGCAACCGGUGUGCAUUGUGUUGCUGAGAAGCCAAGAGGUUGUCGUUUGUUAGAUGAACAAUUCGAUUUGUUUGAAAGUCAAGAGUUAAUGACUCAACAAUUGAAAAAAUUGUACCCUACAAGAGAAAACAACAUGGCCUAGAGUCAAAGGAGGAGAGGAAAGAGAGAAAGGUAUUCGAUGAUCCUACAGAAUUGACACAAGAAGAUUUGUAUGAUUUGCGACUGUGUUGGGCAAAAUGUUUCUUUGAGUUAUAUAAAGAAUAACUUUAUGUUUCUCGUGGAUGCAUGUUGGUUUUUCAAGUGCGCGAAAGGACUUAAAUGGUUGGAUAUUUGUUGUGUUAUUAUUUUGUAGUAGUAAAUCGUGUGUAAACAUUUCUUAUCAUUUUGUACACUUGUGUAUCCUAGAUUAAUACUUUUGUAUAU